rnacentral:lncRNA from 1 species
CCCCGGCCUAGAACGAUCCCUACUUACAUACUUUACUACAUUUGAUAAAAAGAGGGUUAAAUUUUGUGUGCUUAUAUUUUUCACAUCACGUAGAUCUGGCGCCGCUGCGGGAUCUAGGCCGCUAAACCCGACUCGACGUUAUCUGGGCCGCCACCCUCACUGUUCAGGAAUCAAGCUCGCCCAUUUGGAAGAAUCAGAUGGCAAGGUCUCCAUGAGAAUUUUGUGGGGCGGAGCUAUGAGACCUUUUUGGAAUUCUGGGCGGAUGGGUUUCUGAGGGAUUGUGUUGCGGUUGUGUUAGACAUGAAUAGGGUACAAAAUUGGGAAAAGGUAAUUUGCAAAUUUUUACAAAGACCACGGAGAUCCAAUUUCAGGCUUUGAGCAGAUGAAAAGAAAGUUGCUCAUCUGAAAUUUUGAGCAACAGCUUUGAGCAGCCACGGAAAUCUGAAAUUUUUAUGGUUCUUGAAGAUUCACGGUGGUGAGAUUUGAUGAAAAAAAAUGAAAGAGAACCGACAUAGUUUUUUGUGUCGUUUCCCACAGACGGCGCCAAAUGUUGAUGCACAAAACCGGAGGUCUUGGAACAAUGUAAAUCCGACCGUGAAUCUGCAAGAAAUGUAAAUAACACAAGAUGUA